UCAUGCUACAGAAACGAGGGUACAGGAAGAGGCCCCAUACUCAUUAUAUCCAGGGGACAUGAGGAAACCUUAUAACCUGAGGAGGAUAUAUGGGAUCAAAACACGUCCCAGUUGGAGGCCAUGGUGGGGUUUUUGGAUGUGAAUUGUGGAAAAGAACGACAUGAAAAUAAUGGUAUAGUUUGAUGUCAUCGGCCGUCCACAGCUGGGUUGUGAUCUAGGAGCAGUGCACGUGUAGGC
rnacentral:lncRNA from 1 species